AGCGCUUGACAUUUUUAGCUUGGGCGGUAGCGGCAGUUAAAACAUUUUAAAACUCUUACAGCCACCCACUUACCCAACGUGUAUAGUAACGAUAGAUAGGCUAGCAGUUUCGAGUUCUCUAUGUGCGUCCUGUCUGAAGUGAGUGUCUGACAAAGUGCCUGUCGCAGGUUUGCUAGGCUUCUAAACUAAAUUCUACACAACACGUUCCGGCAGGAAUGGGACUCUAGGGGAUAAAUAAACAACAUCUGCAACCAAGAUUACAGCAUCGCUGGUGUCAGCAUGAACAUGUACCCACAUGUACAUGUGACAGGGAAUCCGGAGUGCAGUCGGGAUUUUCCAAGGUGAGAUGAGGUCAGCGCCUCUUCACAGCCAUCAUGUGUUUGGGAUUACAGACUGACUUGGUUAAUGUGUCCCUGGUGGAGCUGGGAGUCUUCAGGGCCACCACAGAGCUAUGCUGGUAAAAGGGAGAGGAGGAGAAGAAUUUGUUUAACAUGACGAAUGCCAACUGUGUAUAGAACCGUUUGUUGAUUUUCAGUUUACA